GAGCUUUUGGGUGGAUCUCACAAAAAUUCACAUCUGUGUGCAGUUUUCAUUCACUGUUUGUGGUGCAGAGAUGAUGCUUCUGUGCUGUCUGCUUGUGUUUUCAAUAACAGAAUAUACAUUUGCACAGUCAAUAAGACCAUUGCAGAACGAAAUUCACGUCACUGAAAAGCAGCCGGUCAUGCUGUCAUGCAAAUAUGAGGGAAGUGCAAACAGUCUGCAUUGGUAUCGACAGUAUCCUGGAUCCAAACCUGAAUUUGUGCUCCUUGUCAUGGAGGCAUCCACAAAACAUGUAACAUAUGCAGAUCCCCGUAUCCCAGGAAUGGAUGGAAAAAUGAGUAUGAAUGAUAAGCAAGUGGAUCUGGAGAUUUCCUCUGCUGAAGUGUCAGACUUUGCGCUGUAUUACUGUGCCCUGGAGCCCACAGUGACAGGAAACACAAGAACACUGUACAAAAACUCAAUGGGAAGUCCUUAUUAUGUAAAAUGUUAAACACC